rnacentral:snRNA from 1 species
AUGCUUGCUUCAGCAACACAUAUACUACAAUUGGAAGGAUACAGAGAAGAUUAGCAUGGCCCCAGCACAAGAAUGACAUCCAAAUUCGUGAAGCUUUCCAUAUUUAA